rnacentral:rRNA from 1 species
UACGUAGGGUGCGAGCGUUGUCCGGAAUUACUGGGCGUAAAGAGCUCGUAGGUGGUUUGUCGCGUUGUUCGUGAAAACUCACAACUCAAUUGUGGGCGUGCGGGCGAUACGGGCAGACUGGAGUACUGCAGGGGAGACUGGAAGUUCCUGGUGUAGCGGUGGAAUGCGCAGAGUAUCAGGAGGAACACCGGUGGCGAAGGCGGGUCUCUGGGCAAUUCCGUGACGCUGAGGCGCGAAAGCGUGGGGAGCAAACGGG